UACGUAGGGGGCAAGCGUUGUCCGGAAUCAUUGGGCGUAAAGGGUGCGUAGGCGGCGCGGUAAGUCGGGUGUGAAAUCUCGGAGCUUAACUCCGAAACUGCAUUCGAUACUGCCGUGCUUGAGGACUGGAGAGGAGACUGGAAUUUACGGUGUAGCGGUGAAAUGCGUAGAUAUCGAGAGGAACACCAGUGGCGAAGGCGAGUCUCUGGACAUUUCCUGACGCUGAGGCACGAAAGCCAGGGGAGCAAACGGG
rnacentral:rRNA from 1 species